UGUACUGGACGAUGUUGUACGCGUGAUAAACUUUGUGAAGACGAGAUCUGUAAAAAGUCGCAUUUUCGAAUCACUGUGUGAGGAAAUGGGAGCGCAACAUAAAGUCUUAUUGCUAAACACAGAGGUCCGGUGGCUGUCCCGUGGCAAAGUUUUAGCCCGUGUGUAUGAUCUACUGGAAGAACUUAAAGUGCAUUUUUGACAAAUCAGAAGUAUGAUAACGCUAAGUUGCUCUCAAGUAACGAGUGGUGUGCAAGACUGGCACAUAUAUUUCAACAUAUGAAUAACCUGAACACACGAAUGCAAGGCGGAAAUGAAAACCUGCUUACAAGUACAGAUAAAAUAAAGGGAUUUUUUUCAAAGUUGCAGCUCUGGAAACAACAUGUCGAAAGUGCUAACCUUAACAUGUUCCCACACACCCAGAAAUGGCAGGGUGUCAACAGUGCUGCACUAUGUGAGACAAUAGGUAAACAUCUGCAAAGUCUUGAGCAGAAGUUGUCGUGUUAUUUCCCUUCGCUUUCCACUGAUUGCCUUUUCUGGGUUAGGAACCCAUACAGCUCAACUGCAGUUGGAAACGACAUUGUAUUUGCAGGAGCAGGAAGAAAUAACUGAACUGAGACAAAAUCGUGGUCUAAAACUGAGCUUUGCUGAUCUACCUUUGGACAGUUUUUGGCUGACUGCUGCCAAGGAGUUCCCCAUUCUUGCAAACAAAGCUAUUUCAGUUCUGCUCCCUUUCUCCACAACCUAUCUAUGCGAGGUGGGCUUGUCAAGCAUGACUGCUAUAAAGACGGAAAAAAGAGAGAGACUCGGAGCUGUUGAGGAAGAUCUUUGUGUGUGUCUUUCUUAAAUUCCUGAGAAAAUAUCAGCUUUGUGUCCAAUUAAACAGGCCCAGGUUUCACACUGAGAUUAUCAUCAUGGAUGUUGUAAACAAACAGCCACAGUCUAUGAAUGUACCCAGAACAACAGACUGGACCACGGGUGUCUGUGAGUGCUUUGAUGACUUGCCUGUCUGUCUUCUGGGUACCUUUGUGCCAUGUGUGCUUGCAUGCAUUGUAUCUCAACAAUAUGGAGAGUGUCUCUGCUUGCCUUUACUUCCAGGAACCUUGAUGUCCUUGAGAACAGGAAUAAGAGAGAGACAUCACUUGCAGGGGUCGAUUGCAGAGGACUGGUUUAUGUUGUGCUGCAUUCCUCAUUGUGCACUUUGUCAGAUGAGUCGGGAGCUGAAAGUAAGACAAUGAAGAAAUUAACCACAGUUUCCUUCCAUUAGACUUUGAAAUCAGACUCAAUUAUUGUGUCUUCAUAACAUGAAUGAAAGAAAGAAAAAAAUCAAAAUCAGACAUGUUAAAUAAAAUUUAUUUUUUUUUAAAUCUUAUAUACAUGGAUUGCUACUUGUAUGCUGUUCAUUAUAUGUCUUAUAAAUAAAAUGUAUUCUUGAUGCUGUUUUCUCUUAAAAUUGUAAACAUUUUAAGCUCUGCUGUGUAAUUGUAAUGAUGAUAAUGUUCAUCUGUGAACUUGAGAAUAAAUAGUGAUGUCUCAAUUAAUUUACCUACA